CCUAACACAUGCAAGUCGAACGGUAACAGGAAGAAGCUUGCUUCUUUGCUGACGAGUGGCGGACGGGUGAGUAAUGUCUGGGAAACUGCCUGAUGGAGGGGGAUAACUACUGGAAACGGUAGCUAAUACCGCAUAACGUCGCAAGACCAAAGAGGGGGACCUUCGGGCCUCUUGCCAUCGGAUGUGCCCAGAUGGGAUUAGCUAGUAGGUGGGGUAACGGCUCACCUAGGCGACGAUCCCUAGCUGGUCUGAGAGGAUGACCAGCCACACUGGAACUGAGACACGGUCCAGACUCCUACGGGAGGCAGCAGUGGGGAAUAUUGCACAAUGGGCGCAAGCCUGAUGCAGCCAUGCCGCGUGUAUGAAGAAGGCCUUCGGGUUGUAAAGUACUUUCAGCGG
rnacentral:rRNA from 1 species